rfam:Pan troglodytes isolate Yerkes chimp pedigree #C0471 (Clint) chromosome 3, whole genome shotgun sequence.
UAUUAGGCUGGUGCAAAAGGUAUUGCGGUUUUUGCCAUUGAAAGUAAUGGCAAAAACCGCAAUACCUUUUGCACCAACCUAAUA